GUGUUCACUCCAAUAGCACAUAUACUGAAAUUUGAACUAUACCAAAAAGAUUAACAUGAUCCCUGUGCAAGAAUUGUGGAGACCAUUCAGAAAAAGAAAAAAAGAUU